rnacentral:rRNA from 1 species
UACGGAGGUGGCAAGCGUUAUCCGGAAUUAUUGGGCGUAAAGCGUCCGCAGGUGGCCAUGUAAGUCUGCUGUCAAAGCGUCUGGCUCAACCAGAUAAAGGCAGUGGAAACUACAUAGCUAGAGUAAGGUAGGGGUAGAGGGAAUUCCUGGUGUAGCGGUGAAAUGCGUAGAGAUCAGGAAGAACACCGGUGGCGAAAGCGCUCUGCUGGACCUUAACUGACGCUGAGGGACGAAAGCUAGGGGAGCGAAUGGG